UACAGAGGUCUCAAGCGUUGUUCGGAUUCAUUGGGCGUAAAGGGUGUGUAGGUGGCGCCGUAAGUCGGGUGUGAAAUUUCGGAGCUUAACUCCGAAACUGCAUUCGAUACUGCGGUGCUUGAGGACUGGAGAGGAGACUGGAAUUCAUGGUGUAGCAGUGAAAUGCGUAGAGAUCAUGAGGAAGACCAGUGGCGAAGGCGGGUCUCUGGACAGUUCCUGACACUGAGGCACGAAGGCUAGGGGAGCGAACGGG
rnacentral:rRNA from 1 species